UAAUACGGAGGGUGCAAGCGUUAUCCGGAUUUAUUGGGUUUAAAGGGUCCGUAGGCGGACUUAUAAGUCAGUGGUGAAAUCCUGUCGCUUAACGAUAGAACUGCCAUUGAUACUGUAAGUCUUGAGUAUAUUUGAGGUAGCUGGAAUAAGUAGUGUAGCGGUGAAAUGCAUAGAUAUUACUUAGAACACCAAUUGCGAAGGCAGGUUACCAAGAUAUAACUGACGCUGAGGGACGAAAGCGUGGGUAGCGAACAGGAUUAGAUACCCUGGUAGUCCACGCUGUAAACGAUGCUAACUCGUUUUUGGUAUUUCGGUAUCAGAGACCAAGCGAAAGUGAUAAGUUAGCCACCUGGGGAGUACGCUCGCAAGAGUGAAACUCAAAGGAAUUGACGG
rnacentral:rRNA from 1 species